UCUGUCUCUCUCCCCUCCUCCUAAGGCCCAGCCAGGGGCCUCGCCUGGGGAAGUUGUGAACCCUCACUAUUUUCUGUUUUAUUUCUGGUCCUAUUUUCAACUCUGCUGAGAAUUUGAAAUUUCUAAUCUCUUUCCAGGAGGGAUCAGCUGGGUAAUCAAAGAGACACAGAGAAGGCUCAUUUGGGAAGUGACCUCCUUCCCUAACCUAUGGAGGAUCUAUCAUGGUGGCAUCCUGAUUUUAGAAUAUGCCUACUUCUCCUCUCCUGGAAUGAGGGUUGGCCUUAAUGGCUGGCUUCCAGAGAACAGGCUGUUGCAGAAAUGAUGAUGUUUUAAUUUUGAGGUUGGGUGGUAAAAAACAAAUAUACUGUCGUUUCUGUGGCUCUUCCAUCUUGCUCUGGGGGAAGCCAGCCACCAUGCUGUAUGAUGAUUCCAGCAACCUACAGAGAGACCCACAGGGUCAGGAGCAGAGGCUUCCUGCCUGCAGACGGAUGAGCAACUGUCCUGGGAAUGGCUCCAUUGGCCCGUCAAGUCUCCAGAUGACCGCAGCCCCAGCCAAACCUUGGCCACUGUCUCCUGAGACAGCCCGAGCACAGCCACGGGGCCCAGCUCUUCCCAGACUCCUGGCCCCCAAGAAAAUGAAAAGAAGGAGAAAGCAGGGACCCCUCUGUAAGAAAAGGCUCCCUCGUUCCAGAGAGGAGGGGAGAGCGGGUCUGCAACCAGAAGGUCAUGUUCUGAACUGGAGGUGAUCUACUAGUGAGCUACACCCCCAGCCCUGGAGGAUUAGGGUCCUUAUAAGAGGACCCCCUACCCAUGCUCCUGAGCUCUCUUGUGAAGACACAAGGAGAAGCGGGUAGGCAGUCGGCAGCCUGGAAGAGGGUCCUCACCAGAACCAACCAUGCUGGCACCCCAGUCGUGGACUUGCAGCCUUAUAGCAGGGCUCAGCUCCGUUCCCUGUUCCCACCAGCCUCUCCCUUCUCUCAGCUUCAGAUGUGUGUUUGGUAAAUCCAGAAAAAUCUCCCAGGUGCUGGCCAGCUGCCUAAAUGAGGAACAAGGUGACAGCCCCGAAUUCACACGUCCCCAGAUAAACGGUGACUUAAAUGAGCAGCCCAGAUGGCCGCCCGGUGAGCUAUGAACACUGGUUCUCCCUGCAUUUCUCUGAGAAAGUGGCGUGAGACUGUCUUUUGGUACUUGAGAUGGUGGAGCUUUGCCAUAAUUCAAAGGAGCCUCGAGAGCUGUGCGGUUAAACCCCGGGGGGCUGAGGGAUCACCUGGAGAGCAGGUUAGGAAUACAGACGCAGUCCACACCCAGCGAUUCCGAUUCAUUGCGUGCUCCCCAUGGAUCUGCACUGGACCCCAAGAGACAGCCUCCGGCAGCCAUCUUUGUACAACGGGAUCCUGUCCCCCUGGCCAAAGCUGAUUAGAGGUGAGGUGGGUGGUGUACCUAAAGGGUUCUCAUCUCUUCUGAAGAGUUUGGAAAGGGAGCAACAGCUGCCUGCACCAGGCUCUUCAAGUGAUUGGGCCUGUAACGCCACCUCUGGAAUUGUGGGACAGUUGUUUUCUGUCAUUUAAGAAGUGAAGAAAAAGCUGGUGUUUGGGAAAGUAAAAAAUGAAAUAGAUACACAGAAAGAAGUAGACACGAGUUUUGGCUCCAUAAGACACAUUGAUAUAUCCCCUUACACCACACACACACACACACACACACACACACACACACCAGCUUGAGGUAGUUUAUAUAACCAGCAACAAGAGUCCUAACCAACACAUGAGAACACAGUGUCCCUUUUCAGUCACGACUGAGGAUCUUGUGGAAUGUUAGGGUCUCCAUGAAGAACCCGUAGUUCUCAUUAUUCAGAACACUGUGUGGAAAACCAAAGAGUCAGACCUGUCAUAAGUUUAUUUCAGAAGCUGCUCUAAGAAUUGCCUUUGUUCACUUUCGGUCUUCACAAUUGGUUCAGUUUCAAUGCUUCAACUCUUUCCCCUAAGAAGCACUCAGCAAAGCAUCCACAGGGCCCACAAAUGACUGUGGUCUGUGUGUGUGAGUGUUGUGUGGCAUCUGGGAAGGGUAGGUGAUGGGACCCACAUACAUUGAGUUCCAACUGUUUCCCUUUCCUGGAUGGUUUACUUUAAUCCCCACCACAUACUGGUACUCCUGAUAAAACCAUUUUAUCGUUGAAGAAGCUGCAUCUCAGAAAAGCACAUUGAUUUUGUUAAGGUCACGUGGCUGAAACCCAGGUUCAGUUCUCCCAGGUCUGUGGAGAACCAAAUUUGAUGCUAUUUUCACUCUUCCAUGUUAUUACACAGGGGGGAAAACACACCUUGACCGGAUGUCCUGUUAGGGAGAUUCUGGUUCACUAGGGAGAUUCUAGUUCACUCUAACUUUCUUAGAAUUGUAUCAUACUGGAGAUUCUCGACCUUGAGGGAGAGAAUCAGGGACAGAGAGAUCUCCCAGCUCCAGACAUACUAGGAACAUUUCUGCAUAUUCUAAAUAAAACAUUGCUAUAUCCAGUAGGAACUAGGAUAGCAAUUUUUAGCACCUUAUUUAUAAAGGUGGGAAAAACAAAAGCCAAAGAAAGUAAAUGAGAAACACAAGAUCUUCAGACAGACCCAGGAGCCCACUGCGGCCUUCUGGCUCUGCCUGUCUCAGUAGAAGAACAUUCUGGAGCAGUUGAUCUUUCUUGACUAAUUAAAGGUGAUUGGAGUUUUGGAGUCAGCAUGGCUUUUGCCUCCCCUCAGCCCCACAUCCUUGGACACCAUACUGUCUGCCGGCUGUCAGUUAGCAAGUAAGUCUAGAGAAGAGCUGGUGUUGGCUGAAGUCAGCCCGGACAGAAUGAGAUUAGGAAGAUCCAGGCAAAACCUUGGACCUCAAUGUGGUUUGAACCUAGUAAAAAAAUCAUGCAAGUGCUUAAAUCAGACUCUGCAAACGCCUCAAAAUGGACACAGCUGUGCAGCAUAAAGCUCCCAACUGGAAUAAGCAAAUCGGAACCAGACUUUUCUCUUCUGAUGCUCUCAACUCUUCUUUAUCUAAUGAAUGUUUUUGUUUUAUUUAGAUUUUUUUAAAGCCCUCACCUUGAUUUGUUGAUCACAAAGGAAUGUUGCCUGCUUAUUUUAAUGCAUUCCAACAUUACCAAGGUAAAAUGCAGAAAGGGAACAUUUGGAGUUGAAUUUGAAAUACCGUCAGUAGCCCUUCCUGUAAAACUUGCCAAUGUCAAGGCUAUGUUAAAGAAUGUAAGCUACAGGAAAACUCCAAUUAGUCAAAAUGUCCAGGGAAUGGGAGAUUCCAGGUUAUUUCAGAGAAAACCUUUUUCACAUCAACUCUUGACGUUGGAAAUCUUACUGAAAAGUAUGAGUUGGGUUUCCUGUCUUUAAGAAGCACAGUUUAUUCCAAAAUUAAUUUAAUGUUCGUCUGACAGUUGAGGGUCAGGCUGUAUCACGGGUUAAGCAUUCUGGACCCCAAUUCCCAUUGUCCAGAAAAAACAAACCAAAACUAAACAGGAGAUUGAGGAGACUUUGAACGCCACCCUCGGACAUGUUUUCGAUGUCCCUGAAAUGAGCCUUUUCCUUUUGUAUUUUGCUCCUUUCUCCUUGUAUAGAGGGGGGAGAAAAACAUCUGCGAGACUUGGUGCCUUGCCUGCAUAAAUUCCAGCUAAAUCAAGAUUUUCCCAUACUUACAGUUUUAUAUAAAUGCUUUGGCCAUCAGCAGUUGGAAGCCAUCCUUCCUAUGGCCUGUGCAGGAGAAUUGGGAGAAGUGAGCACCUCCCUCAGCCACCUGCCACCUUCCCCACCACCACUGGAGAGCAGAUCAGCAGAAUUUGGUCAUUUCUUCCCAGAUCAGUUGUCACUGUCUGCACCCGGCUCCUCAGCAUCCAUGACGUUUCUUUGUUGUAGGAAGCUCUUCUGUGCGCUGUGGACCCACACCAUCUCAGCUCCCACUGUUUGGAGGCCAGCAGCACUCGCCCACCUCCUUAACCAUGACCACCCAAAAUGUCUCCCGAUAUUGCCAGACGUCCUCCAAGGGACAGAGUUGCCCCCAGUUGAGAAUCACUGGUCUAGACAUGGGUUCAGUUAUUUCUCUUUUAUUUUCCCUCCCCCUGUCAUCAAGAUUAUACGUUUUCUUGACCUUGGCAAAUAAUUUCAUAACAUAUUUCCUGCUCUAUUUCAUGGAAGAACAAAAAUAAUUCUCUGAUGAAAGUCAUAUUUUGACUUAAAUUGCAUGAGGCAGGCCUUGUUAUAACACACCCACAGGUUCCGCGUUGUUUUUGGAAGGCAGUAAAUUUGUUUUCUGCUUCGAUCCUGAUUUUGAUUUUUAAGUACUGAAUUUUCAUACUGUACUCAGUUCCCCUGGAGGUCAUUGUCAUCAUGGACAUCAAAUCGACGUCUCAGGCACAGUCUCUCAUGUCGUACCGUCUCUCUCAAUUUCAUUUUUGCAUCUGUCUCGAAAUCAUUUUUGCUGCUGUGGCUAAUGUUCCAUGUUUUUUCACUCACUGUUCUUUAAAGCCCAUUUAUUCCCUUUUUCCAGUGAGUUCAGUUUAAAUCUUAUGUCUUGUACGAUAUUUUGGGUAUUUAAAAAAAUAUCUGUUAAAUGUGUUAAAUUCAGGUAGUAAGUUAUAGAUGCCUGAUUGCAAGCCUAUGGUAAUAUUUCUGCCAUAGAACGGGGUGAUAGUUGAAACUGUUUUGGAGAAGCAGAUUUUGGGAUUAGGAAAGUUACCCAUAUAUGUUGAUUGUCAAAUGUCAAACAAUUCAGUUAUGCUACAGUUUGGAUUUGGAAUGUUCCCCAAAGGCCCGUAGGUUGAAGGCUUGGUUGUCAGUGUGGUACUGUUGGAAGGUGGUGGGAAUUUUAAGAAGUGGGGUCACUGGGAUUGUGCUCUUGAAGGGAAUUGCAGGGCCCCAGUUCCCCUUUCUCCCUCUCUUCUACUUCCCAGUCACCAAGAGGGGAGUGAUUUUCUGCCCUCUGUAUUCCCUCCUUGAUUUCUGUCUCCCCACAGGCCCCAAACAAUGGGACCAACUGACCAAGGGUUGAGACCUCCAAACCUAGGACCCAAAAUAAACUCUCUAUCUUUAUAAACUGGUGAAAUCAGGUAUUUGUUACAGUAACUGAGAACUGAUGGACACAAAUUAAUAAUUCAUAUGAUAUCUAUUUUGGACCAAAUAAGCGUAUGCACACUGAGAUUUUUUCAGAUUCAUCAGAGGUUUUGCAUGUAUUAUUUUUACUUGGAUUGUAAAAAAUGGAACACAAAACUGUAGAUGAUUUCUGAAUACAUAAAAAUAUUUCCAGGUUGAGGCUAGAAUUCAGUGGUUGUGCAUAUGUGAGACCCUGGAUUCAAUUCUCAGCGCUGGAAAAAAAAAUUCCAUGUACAUAGACAAAGGCUAGUAUAUAAAAGUUAGCAUUGAACAGUUGUAUUGAUUAUAGCAAAUGCUUUCUCCUAUUCAAAGUUUUCUAUGGAUUAGAGUUUACAUAAAUUUUCGGUAGCACAUAUUUUUUAUUACCUGAAGAAGCUUUCUUGUUCACUUAAAAUACAAAACAGAUGACAAAUCACUUGUGAUAACACCACCCAGUGAUGGUCACUGUCAACAGUCUUUUUUUCCUUUUACAAAACAGAUCAUCCUAAAUAAAUUAUUCUUUAUCCUGCUUUUUAAAUCAUAGUGAGUAUGAAUAUAAAUAUACAGCUAUCUAUGGAUAUCUAAGAAGGAUUGUCACAAGUAAAAUAUCAUAGUAUUUACCUGUAACCUACACACACCCUUCCUACACUUUAAAUUGUCUCUAGAUGACUUACAAUACCCAAUACCUUUCUCGAAUAUUAUUUUAUUGUGUUGUUCAAGGAAUAAUUAUAAGAAAAAGCAGUCUAUAUAUAUUCAACACAGAUGCAACCAUCAUAGGUCAACUACGUCUCUGAUAUGAAUUGGUUGAAUUCAUGGAUAUGGAACCCAUAGAUAGGGAGGGACAACUAUUAACUUGUGUAUUUCUGUCUGAUAUUAUGGGACUUUUGGAGAUUUCCAGUUUCUUCCAUUAUAUAUAUUAUGUUGCAAAGAAGAUCUCCAUACAAAAUCUUUCCACACGUGGUUAAGCAACUCUUGCAGCUAAAACUUGAGAAGACAAAUCCUAGGUCAAAGGGUAAUUCCCAAGGCUCUAUACAUAUUGCUAAAUUAUCUCUGGAAAGUUGUUCCCAUUUUCCGUCUUUCCUUAUUGGCAGUUGUCUUGAAGGGCCUCCAUCUUGUUCUGUCAGCCUUCAGGCCUGUGAAGACAUUUCCCAUGAGAAUUCUUCAGAUAUGUCAAUGUAAUAAGAUCCAUUGCAAGAUAUCUGUCAACAGCAUCCCUGGGCCCAUCUCACACCAUCUGUCAGUGGCAACUCUAAUAUAUUUUGGGAAGAUGCUCAUACAGUUGCCAAAAAAAAAAAAAAAAAAAAAGUUUGCAAUUGAAUCAGUUUUUCCAGUCAGUUAGGAUGCAGAACUAAACUGCAUUAACGACCUGUGACAAUCUUAUUACAAUAUCCAGAGACUCCAUGUAGGAAUGUGUCCUUGUGAAUUUAAGGGCAGGCUGCAAGAUGGGGUAGGUGGAUUGCCUUUUCUCGAGAGUGCCACAGAGCUCACACAAUUACAAGUGUAGUGCAAACUUGGCAGCAAGAACUGAUAGCCAAGUCUUAGCUCCAGGCAACACUGGGGAGAAAAACAUCACUGAGGUGCUGAGCUCUAUCACUUAGAAAGGUAGAGUGAUAGUCUGACUAUUACACAUACAACUGGUACCUGUAGUGGGUUUGAAUUCCAUGCCACCAACUGACCUUUGAUCAAGACAAACAAGAAAGCUAACUUAUGUACUCCCAGGAAAUGGAAAGGAUCAGCCUUAAUAUAUUAUAUGAAAAUGUUUUGGAUAUUAAAAAGCACUAUACAUAUGAGUUUAUUACUGCUGACAUUGCAUUUUUACAGGUUCUGAACUGUUAGGUUCAGGAUUUAAAAUACCUAAGAUCUCAUCUAUCUUAUUUUGGAUGCAUAAAAUUUUAAAUGCCAGGAAUUGCUUGUUGUUAUUCCCUCUCCAGACCCUUCCUGGCCAGUUGAGCCCCAUAAUCAUGGAGCCCAUGUGAACCUUUAAUUUUCAAGGGGCUGGUGUGUAUCCCAGGUAUAGAAGUGGCGAGUUGUCUCUGCUCUCAAACAGACAUUCACAGAUUCUCUUCUCUCUGUACCACUGGUUAAUUGAGUUACUUUCUGACAUGUCACAGACACAUGAACUCCCCAGGUACCCUUAGCUCACUGGACCUUGUCAUUUCCUUUCAAGUCUGAAUAACAUGGACCACUGAAGUCAGGGCAGACAGAAACCACAAAGAUCACAUGACAGACAGAGGUCAAAAGCCCACCCCCUUGUCAAUGAGACAGACCCAGAAGGCAGGCCUCCCUGAGCUGCUUCUCUCUCUAAACAGCUUUAGUAACUCAAAGCAGCCUGCUUGUGUCUCCUGCACGUGGCCUGUUGGCAAAGUUAAAAAUAUUCUGAUCUCUCUCUGCAGAGAGAGAGAUUGCACCACAGCCCAAACUCAUCCAGAAGCCGUUCUCCUGGCCAGGAGACCAGAACUGCACUUAUUUCACCUGCAUGUGCCUGUGGGCUUAUUCCCAUACUGAGGACAGAAAGAGAAAAGGACGGAAGCACUCACAUUCUUUUUUAUUGUUGUUCUAAUUAGUUAUACACGACAGAAGAAUGCACUUCGAUUCACUGUACACAAAUGGAGCACAACUUUUCAUUUCUCUGGUUGUACAUGAUGUAGAGUCCCAUCAUUCAAGCAAUCGUACAUGUACCUAGGGUAAUGAUGUCACUCUCAUUCCACCAUCUUUCCUAACCCCAAGCCCUCUCUCCUCUCCUUAUUCUCCUCUGCCCAAUCCAAAGUUCCUCGUACAUUGCUGGUGGGACUGCAAAUUGGUGCGGCCAAUUUGGAAAGCAGUAUGGAGAUUCCUGGGAAAGCUGGGAAUGGAACCACCAUUUGACCCAGCUAUUGCCCUUCUUGGACUAUUCCCUGAAGACCUUAAAAGAGGGUACUACAGGGAUACUGCCACAUCGAUGUUCACAGCAGCACAAUUCACAAUAGCUAGACUGUAGAACCAACCCAGAUGCCCUUCAAUAGACGAAUGGAUAAAAAAAAUGUGGCAUUUAUACACAAUGGAGUAUUACUCUGCACUAAAAAAUGACAAAAUCAUAGAAUUUGCAGGGAAAUGGAUGGCAUUAGAGCAGAUUAUGCUAAGUGAAGCUAGCCAAUCCCUAAAAAACAAAUGCCAAAUGUCUUCUUUGAUAUAAUGAGAGCAACUAAGAACAGAGCAGGGAGGAAGAGCAGGAAGAAAAGAUUAACAUUAAACAGAGGCAUGAGGUGGGAGGGAAAGGGAGAGAAAAGGGAAAUUGCAUGGAAAUGGAAGGAGACCCUCAUUGUUACCCAAAAUUACAUAUAAGAGGUUGUGAGGGGAAUGGGAAAAAAACAAGGAGAGAAAUGAAUUACAGUAGAUGGGGUAGAGAGAGAAGAUGGGAGGGGAGAGGAGGGGGGAUAGUAGAGGAUAGGAAAGGUAGCAGAAUACAACAGUUACUAAUAGGGCAUUAUGUAAAAAUGUGGAUGUGUAACCGAUGUGAUUCUGCAAUCUAUAUGUGGGGUAAAAAUGGGAGUUCAUAACCCACUUGAAUCUAAUGUAUGAAAUAUGAUAUGUCAAGAGCUUUGUAAUGUUUUGAACAACCAAUAAAAAAAUAAAUAAAAUGGUAAAAAAAAAAAAAAACAAAGUUCCUC